rnacentral:rRNA from 1 species
GACUCAAGUUAAUGGAGUACGGCGUAAAGAGUGUUUAAGAUUAUACCUUCAAUAAAGCUAACCUAUAACUAAGUCGUAAAAAACCCUGGUUAUGGUAAAAUAUUCUACGAAAGUGGCUUUAAUAUCCUGAAUACACUAAAGCUAAGGCACAAACUGGGAUUAGAUACCCCACUAUGCUUAGCCCUAAACCUCAAUAACUUAAUCAACAAAUUUAUUCGCCAGAACACUACAAGCAACAGCUUGAAAUUCAAAGGACCUGGCGGUGCUUUACAUCCGUCUAGAGGAGCCUGUUCUAUAAUCGAUACACCCCGAUAGACCUUACCACCUCUUGCCCC